UUAAUUUUUUUUUUUUAAGACAGGGUCCAUCUAUGUAAUUCUGGCGCUCACUAUGUAGAGCAGGCUGGCCUUGAAAUCAGAGAUCCUUCUGCCUCUGCAUGCUGUGAUUAAAGGUGUAUACCACCAAAUCCAGCCUUUUUAAAAAAUGUCUGACAUACCAUUUUAUUUAAAGAAAUUAUGAAGAAUUCCUUUUAUGGAGAUAUCUCUAGAACCGAUUUAUGGGGACAGAAUCUGUUCUCCCACAUCCGGCAAGGCUUAAAGGAAGCCAAGCUUGGUGAUUUUGUCUUACUGUACAAUUACAAUCUCCUAACAGUGGAGAAGGAACAAGAAACAAUAAUCCUUGCGCCCCUGUGGGAGUGACCCCCUCUGAACUAGAGAGCUGACUCCUCUCAAUGCUCUGUAGUGGCCACUGCUAUUUUACAGAUGGCACUGGGCCAACAACAGCCCAUGAACAAAGCACUGUUUUAGAAUGACAAGUUUCAAAGACUUACUGUGGGCAACAAGCUCCACAGCUGAUAGGCAUGUCUUGUAGCUCAGGUUAGCUAUGGCCACAGCCCAACACAAAAUAAAAAAUGUAAUUAAAAUGACAGUAGCCAGAUGCAGAUACUCCCAACCAUUGGACUGAAGUUGGGGACCCCUAUGGUUGGAUUAGAGGAAGGAUUGAAGAAGCUGAAGGGGAGGACCAACCCAUAGGAAGACCAGUGUUCUCAACUAAACCCGACCCCUGGGAGCUCCCGAAGACUGAGCCACCAACCAAGCAGUACCAUGGCUGAUCCAAGCACAUACACAGCAGAGGGCUGCCUGGUCUGGCCUCUGGGAGAAGAUGCACUCGAUCCUUUAGAGACUUGAGGCCUCUGGGAAGGGGGGAGGUGGGGCGGGGCACAGAACCUUGGGGGUGGGGGUAGGAGUGGGAUGGGGGAGCAACAGCUGAAAUGUAAAUAAAAUAAUUU
rnacentral:lncRNA from 1 species